AGUGAACGCUGGCGGUAGGCCUAACACAUGCAAGUCGAACGGCAGCACAGUAAGAGCUUGCUCUUACGGGUGGCGAGUGGCGGACGGGUGAGGAAUACAUCGGAAUCUACUUUUUCGUGGGGGAUAACGUAGGGAAACUUACGCUAAUACCGCAUACGACCUACGGGUGAAAGCAGGGGAUCUUCGGACCUUGCGCGAUUGAAUGAGCCGAUGUCGGAUUAGCUAGUUGGCGGGGUAAAGGCCCACCAAGGCGACGAUCCGUAGCUGGUCUGAGAGGAUGAUCCGCUAGAUUGGCAGAGAGAAAGAGCAGCGACACCGACGCUAGGAAGCAGUGCAGAAUACUAGACGAGGGGGGAGAGGCGGAUACUGCAAUACCGGGUGAAGCAUGAAGCAGUUAGGGUGGGAGAGCGAUGAUGUUGUGAGAGAAAUACAGCAGGUUAAUACGGGGCUGUAAUGACGGUACCGAAAGAAUAAGCACCGGCUAACUUCGUG
rnacentral:rRNA from 1 species